AGUAGUGUUAGUUUAUUUAGAAUGAGAGCUUGUCAUGCUUUUGAUGCUUUUUUAGAGCACACUAUUG
rnacentral:tRNA from 1 species